UACGUAGGGGGCAAGCGUUGUCCGGAUUUAUUGGGCGUAAAGAGCGUGUAGGCGGCCAUGUAGGUCCGUUGUGAAAACUCGAGGCUUAACCUCGAGCUGUCGGCGGAAACCAUCUGGCUAGAGUCCGGAAGAGGAGAAUGGAAUUCCCGGUGUAGCGGUGAAAUGCGCAGAUAUCGGGAAGAACACCCGUGGCGAAGGCGGUUCUACUGGGACGGUCUGACG
rnacentral:rRNA from 1 species